UAGUUUACUGAAUGAUUAUGAAUUUAUGAUCUUACCUCUUAUUUGCAUAUGUUCUGUUAUUUAUAGAUUUUUGACUUAUUCUUAAUUUUUGCUUAUGUUAGCUGGUGAAUUUGUUUAUCUUCUACUUGGUCUCAAGAAGCUUUUUGAUAAGUUGAGAUCUCAAUAGCUUGACAUACAUUAUUCAAUUCCAAAGACAAUGCUCCAGAAAAGGAUAUUUGGUCAUGGUGGUGUGAUGAUAUCUGGUCUUGAUUCAUCUGUUUCAAAUGACGAACUUAAGCAUAUUUUUGGAUUAUAUGGAGAAAUUAAAGAAGUAAUGGACUUGGAUAGAAGAGUAAGACGUGGGCAAGAACGCCUUGCUCAAGAGGCUGCCAAAGAGAAGGCUGUUGAAGAAGAGUGAAGGAAACAGAGGGAGAAGGAUCAUGAGAGAAGACUAUACAAUCUCCCUUCCAUCAAUAUUAUUUAUGGAGAAAAAAAGGGUUGAGGUAGGUAUUUUACUGUUGUAAU